rnacentral:piRNA from 1 species
UGAUUCCUUGGUGCCACUGGGACC